rnacentral:rRNA from 1 species
UGGGGAAUAUUGCACAAUGGGCGCAAGCCUGAUGCAGCAACGCCGCGUGAACGAUGAAGGUCUUCGGAUCGUAAAGUUCUGUUGCAGGGGAAGAUAAUGACGGUACCCUGUGAGGAAGCCCCGGCUAACUACGUGCCAGCAGCCGCGGUAAUACGUAGGGGGCUAGCGUUAUCCGGAUUUACUGGGCGUAAAGGGUGCGUAGGUGGUCUUUCAAGUCGGUGGUUAAAGGCUACGGCUCAACCGUAGUUAGCCUCCGAAACUGGAAGACUUGAGUGCAGGAGAGGAAAGUGGAAUUCCCAGUGUAGCGGUGAAAUGCGUAGAUAUUGGGAGGAACACCGGUGGCGAAAGCGGCUCUCUGGUCUGUAACUGACGCUGAGGCUCGAAAGCGUGGGGAGCGAACAGG